CUGAAAACCCUAGCUUUUGAUUUUUCUGAUUUUCUAUUCAUAAAUUGCUAAAUGUUUUGAUUUUUCGUGUCUUCACUGAUUUCGCUUUGGUUCGUCCUCUGCACGCCUCAAAGACCCUUCCCCUGUACGCUUUCUUCUCCUACCGGUGUAUUACCCCGACAAUCUCAUCGAUUUCUACCCACCUACAGUAAGGUAGCCUCCACGCCGACACAACAACCCCUUCGAAUGGCGUAGCUUCAUCUAAGUCUAAAAUUUCUGAUCUUAAGCGGUUCAAAGAAUGGCUAUGCUCAGCUAGAAUCAAGUUGAAUUAAAUUUACCAAAUUGGAACAAGACUACAAGAGUUGCAAGGAGAUAGGGCUCAAAUGAUUAUAUAUUUCUCUGUUUUCUACAAUUAAAUGCAACUUGUUUGUUAAAUAAUUUGAAUGUCCUCACUGCAUGUAUUAUGCCAUUAUAUCUUAUAAAAUUUAUGGGUUAAUUUUUGUUA